rnacentral:rRNA from 1 species
UACAGAGGGUGCGAGCGUUGUUCGGAAUUAUUGGGCGUAAAGGGCGCGUAGGCGGUGCGGUAAGUCACCUGUGAAAUCUCCUGGCUCAACUGGGAGCUUGCAGGCGAAACUGCCGUGCUGGAGUGUGGGAGAGGUGCGUGGAAUUCCCGGUGUAGCGGUGAAAUGCGUUGAGAUCGGAAGGAACGCCCGUGGCGAAAGCGAGGUCCUGGACGCCUACUGACGCUGAGACGCGAAAGCCAGGGGAGCGAACGGG